CUGGCCAACAUGGUGAAACCCCAUCUCUGCUAAAAUACAAAAAUUAGCCAGGCGUGGUGGCGGGUGCCUGUAAUCCCAGCUACUUGGGAGGCUAAUACAAGAGAAUCUCUUGAACCCAGGAGGCAGAGGUUGCAGUGAGCUGAGAUCGUGCAACCGCACUCCAGCCUGGGUGACAGAGCCAGACUCCAUCUCAAAAAAAGGAAAAAGAAAUACCCAGAAUGUUACAUGUGCACUCAAGCACUGAAUUGAAUGAAGUACUGGUUUUGGUGGUAACUACAGCUUUCCAUUGCUUAAAACCCUUUCAGGCUGGACGUGGUGGCUCAUGCCCAUAAUCCCAAUGCUUUGGGAGGCUGAGGUGAGAGGAUCAUCUGAUCCAGGAGUUCAAGACCAGCUGGGGCAACGUAGCAAGACCCCAUCUCCACAAACUUACAAAAAAUUAGCUAAGUAUGGUGGUGCAUGCCUGUAGUCCCAGUUACUCCAGAGGCUAAGGCAAGAGGGUUGCUUGAGCCUGGGAGGUUGAGGUUGUAGUGAGCUAUGAUCAUGCCACUGAACUCCAGCCUGUGUGACAGAGCGAGGCCCUGUCUCAAUCAAUCAAUCAAUCAAUCAAUCAAUCAAUCCUUUCAAAAUAUCUUAUUGCUGUUUAGUUUCCAUUUUCCAGGUUUUUAAUGAGGCUAAGGAGCUUUUCAAAGGUUCACUCUUCCUGCCUAGCCAUUUGGGCUGUGUAGUUCAAGAGGAUCUGUAGCAUCUUUUUACAAAGAAGAAGGUUAAGGCGUUAGGGGAGGAGCAGGGAGAACAGGAGGAAGGAGCUCCCAGGCCCUGUUUUCAGCCCUUCCUUCCCCUCCUCUUUUCUUUUUUGAGGCCUGCUCCAUUCUCUUAGGGCCUGACCCUGACCUGCCAACCCCAGAUAAGGUGUUGUGACUAGGCCCUCCUUCCCCCAGGGUUCCCCCUGGAGAGACCCAAGGCAAUGGAUGGAGGAGCAUUGGCCCCACCCCAUCUCCUCACCCCACUUAAGGGAACAGCAUCUGAGGACAGGUGGCAGCAGGUAGUGUGGCCCCACCUCACUUCACAUUGCAGGGAGCUCUGUCACUUUGCUCCUUUGUUGCAAAUGCCAUUGGAAAGGCCAGUGCUGUGCUGCCUAGUGAGGUCUUCAAGGUGUUGGCCGGAUGCUUGAAGAAAGUGGAAGCCAUGGAAGGUUGUAUUCAGGAGAGGGGCAUGGCCCCUUCUGAGCAUGUUUCCACUGGUGGGAGGCCAUAGAGAGAAUGAUAAGGAAGGAGAAUGAGGCCACGUGGAUGACAGCUAACCCCUGCUGAGAGCCCAUUCUGAGCCGUGCACUGUAUGCCAUUUACUGGCAAAAGAGCAUGAGUAGGUGGUCAAGGUCGCCCAGCUGACAAGUGACAAAGUCAGAGCCAUCACAUUUCACCUGAGAUUCCUCCCCAGUUGUUUCAGGCAUGUUCGAUUUGUUUCCUAGCAAUAACUUUGCAAGGAUGGUCCUACUGUCCCCAUUCACAGAUGGGAAAACUGAGGGCAAAUGGUAGAGCCAAGUAAUGAAUGUGUUCUGCUUGGUCUUUACUUCUCAUGGAUACUCAAGGAAGGCAGCAGGUCUGGGCAAAGAAGGAAGGUGUUUCUUCACCAGAAGCAAAAUUUGUGUUGGAAAAGGGAUCUUAGAAAAGCCCCAGCCUCGACAUUCCUGAGCUCAGCCUCAGGGCUUUAUACAUACUUUGAUGAACACUUAAUAUGUUGCAAUUUUUCUGUUCUACCACAGGGUCAGCGCAUACAGUUGUAUAGGUUAUGCACUGCACAACUCAUGGAGUUCCAUGGCCUAAACCUGAGGGACCCAUCUUGCAGUCUCUGAGAUGGUGUGGAGUGGCGUCCACAGAUGAGGGCUUUGCUGACAAGUAGCGGGGUUUGAAUCUAGUCUUGGUUACUGGGUCGAGGAGCUUUUUCUAUUCUCCUUGAUCCCAUUUCCUCAUCUGUGAAGUGGAGAUGGUAUCAUCAUCUCUUCUCCCUCGGGGACUGUCAGGAUAGCAGGAGAGAACACACGGCAUAUGGCCCUUUACACAGGGCCUGGUACUAGUGGGGCCUUGGUAGAGUUCAGUUUCUCAUACUUCUGUCUCUCUGAGUGGACUUGAGGGCAGGCAGAGGCCCUGUCUAACUCAUUCCUGCAUCCCCAGCGCCCAGCGCUGUCCUUGCACGUGGGAGGGACUAGGCACCCAUUUGCUAAGGGACCAGAGAAAUCAUGCUGGAGGCAGAGAGGGGAUUUGGGGAACACUGGGGCAGCAGGCCCCAGUCCGGCAUCCCCACCCCACCUUUUCCCUCUUGGAGACAGCCUGGUCUGAGUUAUUUCCCUUCCCGACACUUCCCUGCCUCCAGGGCACAUUUUCUCCAGGUGAGUCCACCCAGGCAGAGGGCGAAGCCAGCAGGCACAGGCUGGAUUCCUGCAGAGGCGCGCAUUUCAUUUGGCCUGCACCAUGGCUUCACAUUUUUAAAAUUAGUUGCCGAUAUUUUACAAUUUGGAGAUUUCACCUAGAAACCUGGAUUUCCAGCUAUUCUUGAAAAAUCAAAAGAUCUAGCAGCCCUGGGCCUGCAGCUGGCAGCUGGUGUGCAGCAGCCACUGUUCCUUUGUGUUGGGUAUAUGCUGCUCAGUUUGCCACCAGAUCCACCUGGUCCAAGUCCCCCUCCCUUAUGACUCCUGCCCUUCCCCUGGUGAACCUGCAACCCCUGGCUCUAUGGAGCGCCCGGGCCAUCCCACUAACCUCACAGGUCUUGGUUUGGCAAAUCAUGACCGUGCCAGGGUCUUUGCCUGUGGAACGAGGAUCUGUGGGGGUGCCUUCCAAAUGUGCCAACCAAUGCUCACGACCAAGCCUUCAGUGUAACGAUCUGCCCACUUUCUCCUCCUCCCCCUGCCUCCGUGAGCCAGCGAAGCUGCUGCCCUGUUUGGGGACACAAACAUACACACGUUAUUAGAACCUCAGAUCAAAGGCGGCGUCCUACAGCCUGCCUCUCAAUGGUCCCUUUGUGCAGGCGGAAGCCUGCAAGAGAGUUAGAAUCCAGGGAGAACAGGAGGGGCUGGAGGGGGGCUCAAAACAAAGAUACUUGUCACCCUGAGAAGUCCGCAGAAAUGAUGUUAAAAGAGGCGCCAGGUGGAGGAUGUACCCCGGCUCGCUGCUGGAAGAUGCAAAUGGAGAAUUCUCAGUUCUGCAGAGGAGAAGAAAACACCCCUGUCCCUUGUGGUUUCAGAGGAAGGGGUGACAGUGGCUGCCCACCCCCUCCGCCAGCAGCAGCCUGCGUCUGCCUUCCUGGCCUCGCCAGGGGUGGAUGUGAUACUGGCAAGGGCUUCUUGGAACGAAAAGGGUUGGUUUGAACAAAGAAGUGCUUUGAGAGUUCAGAUGUGGAGCCAGGAACCCUGCCUGCCAUGGGAUGCAGGGAGAGGGGGUGGCGAGCAGCCCACAGCGACCCCAAGAAGCUGCUCCAACCCCUGGGACUAUGGAGCUCUACAGCUGUAGAGACCACCAGGAAGUGGACUGCAGGCCCCUGGCCUCUCCAUUCAGAUUCUGCAAAGAGAUCCUGAUGGGUUGGGCCAAUGGGUCAGGCAUCCAGUCAGCUCUGGCUAAGGGGUGAAGGAGUCAGGUGUUACCAACGUGGUGGCAGGGGCCACCUUGAAGCUGUGUUCUGUGCCAUGGAAGAAGGAAGAGGAGGAGGAAGCUAAGCUGGAAGGGAAGUCUAGGCUCCUGGAGUCAGUAGUUGGAAUCUCAGAUGGGAAGAAACCUUAAAAGUCAUCUGGUCCAGUAUUUUCCAAAGCAUGUUCCAUGAACUUGUUUUCCAGAAAUGGUUUCCUGGUCUGGUGAGUGGGAGUUCGAUGAGAGUGGCAGUUGUCUAUUUUGUUCACCGAUGUAUCUUAGGUGACUAAAACAAUGGUUGUCACAUGGCUGGCCCUUCAUAUUUGUUUCCAGAUGGAAGACUCUCUUUCUAGUGGUGGAACAUUAGUUUUGCACUGUGUUGGGACAACCUGAUGUAGUGAAAACAAGCCUGGGCAAUGAAAUCAACAGAUUGGAGUUCAGUUCCUAAUUGGGUCAUGGAUGAACUUUGUGACCUUGGGCAAGUGAGUUCACCUCUCUGAGUUGAAUAGGUUCCCUCCUUUCUAGAACAAGUAUGAGUCUGCAUCAGAGAGUGGUUGCGAGGGCUACACAUGAUGGAGGAUGAGGACUGGCACAUCAGAAGUACUGAAUGAAGAAUUGUAACAUAAAAAUGACAACAGUAAUAUAUUUUUGUGGUUUCAGCACUCUUCAAAUGAAACCACCUGGCCAACAGGAUUUUAGUGUACCUGCUUAUAACAUUAGCCUUCGUUUCCACCAAAAAGGGUGUUAAAAAAGGAAGCUUGGAACAUGAAAGUAAGACACUUGGAUGAAGAGAUUUAUGACUCUGGGGGGCUGUGAAUUCCUAAUGUCCUUUUGAGACAUGUAGAUCUUCCAGAGCGAUGCUGCCCAAUGCAGUAGCCACUAGCCAAGUGCAAAUGGUCACUUGCAAUAUGGCUAGUCUUUGAGAUGUGUUUUAAGUGUAAAAUACACACUGAAUUUUAAAGACUUAGCGCAAUACAAAGAAUGUAAAAUAUCUCAUUAUAUCUUGAAAUUAUACUAUUUUGGAUAUAUGGUGUUCCCUUGGUGUCUUUGGGGACUGGUUCCAGGAUCCUAGAGGAUACCCAAAUCCCCAGAUGUCAAGUCCGCUAUAUAAAAUGUCCUGUAGUAUUUGCAUAUAACCUACACACAUCCUUCUGAAUACUUUAAAUCAUCUCUAGAUUCCUUGUAAUUCCUAAUACAAUGUAAAUGUUAUGUAAAUAGUUGUUAUACUAUAUUAAAAAGUUUUUUAUUCUUU
rnacentral:lncRNA from 1 species